CACGUGCCAUUUCGACAACGCGACUGAAACGACAAGCCUUCUUAGCUGCUUCAUCAAGAUCAUCAAAUGAGAAAAUACGGAGACCUGAGUUGUUGAUUACCUCUUUGGCAGCACCUUGGUUGGUUCCUUGAAGUCUGCAAAUAAUAGGUAUGUUCAGAUUCAACGCUGAUACUACCGAGAUAAGACCUUUGGCAAUAACGUCGCAUCGA